UGAAUUUUUUAGCGUCUUUUAAAACAAACGUAAAUAUUUUUUAAAAGAUGUUUUGGCGUUGACAGCACAUUAAGAUGGUCACUACAAAUUAGCCGGGAAAAGCCGGUGCUAUAGAUCAAAAUAAGUGCCUGUACACAGAAAAAAUGACAAAAGUGUCUUUUUUAGCAAAGAAACAACAUUUGAAGUGUUGCGCCAUAUUGAAAUAUGUCACAGUUAGAGUUUACCUAACACAAUUUUAGCAAGAAAUAAAAGAAAAACUGGGCUAUAGACCUGGCGUUGAAAUUUGGGAGCUUCGUUCGCUGCGCAAAACUAAAAGAGGCAGUUAUGAUAUUAGUGAUUUGCGGUUUCUGAUUGUGACUGAAUUAUUGGGUGCACGCUUGAUGUAGACGAUAGCAGUACGAUAAGUUUCCGGCAUCGUUUCCUGUGACUUGAUGACGACCACGCUCAACCAAGUUUUUUCUUCAGUUUCAUAAAUAUGUACAGCCGCAGCGCAAAACCAUUGGUCCCAAGUGGCCGAUGACCGGAGCAGGGAAAUUGCUGUACGCGGCGCUCUUGAUCCCGUGCACACUGGUAUCUUAGGUACCACACGAUUCAUGUUUCAAAGAGGUACUCUCGUAUGGUACUCUCGCCUGGUACUCGCGCCUGGUACUCGCGUUUUCAGCGUGCUAGGGCACAACAACGACGCGUGCCGCAAUUUACAUCAUCGGGUGAUCGGUCACUUGUGCUAAUCUUUUUCAGCCGCAGCUGUACAUCUUUGCAAUGUGCAUGGAGCACCAACCGACACAGUGGUCAGCGUCAUGCCACGGAGCGCCCCUUUGGAAGCUGGUACCGUCCGGUGGAGCUUCAUACAGGAACCUGUAUGAAGCCUUACCUGCUGGUGUCACAACGUUGGAUGAACGCACAAAAAGCGCGGAACGAGCUUUUAUAUAGAGCAAAAUAAAUAUUUCCUCAUUGCACAAAA